rnacentral:rRNA from 1 species
UACGGAGGAUGCAAGCGUUAUCCGGAAUGAUUGGGCGUAAAGCGCGUGUAGGCGGCUCGGUAAGUCUGCUGUGAAAGUCCAGGGCUCAACCCUGGGAUGCCGGUGGAUACUGUCGAGCUCGAGUCCGGAAGAGGCGAGUGGAAUUCCUGGUGUAGCGGUGAAAUGCGCAGAUAUCAGGAGGAACACCAAUGGCGAAGGCAGCUCGCUGGGACGUGACUGACGCUGAGACGCGAAAGCGUGGGGAGCAAACAGG